ACUCCUACGGGAGGCAGCAGUGGGGAAUAUUGCACAAUGGGCGCAAGCCUGAUGCAGCAACGCCGUGUGAGUGAAGAAGGUUUUCGGAUCGUAAAACUCUGUCCUAAGGGAAGAAACAAAUGACGGUACCUUAGGAGGAAGCCCGGCUAACUACGUGCCAGCAGCCGCGGUAAUACGUAGGGGGCAAGCGUUAUCCGGAAUCACUGGGGCGUAAAGGGUGCGUAGGCGGCUUAGCAAGCCAGGGGUGAAAGGCAUUGGCUCAACCAAUGUAAGCCUUUGGAACUGUUAAGCUUGAGUGCAGGAGAGGUAAGUGGAAUUCCUAGUGUAGAGGUGAAAUUCGUAGAUAUUAGGAGGAACACCAGUGGCGAAGGCGACUUACUGGACUGUAACUGACGCUGAUGCACGAAAGCGUGGGUAGCGAACAGGAUUAGAUACCCUGGUAGCACAGAG
rnacentral:rRNA from 1 species